UCUCCUGGAAAACGGGUGGUAAUGCCGGAUGCUCCAGUUGAUUGCAUGGUCUUCUGGGAAAGCUUUCGCGGUAUGGGAUGGGGUCGCGUCCUAUCAGCUUGACGGCGGGGUAACGGCCCACCGUGGCUUCGACGGGUAGCCGGCCUGAGAGGGCGACCGGCCACAUUGGGACUGAGAUACGGCCCAGACUCCUACGGGAGGCAGCAGUGGGGAAUAUUGCACAAUGGGCGCAAGCCUGAUGCAGCGACGCCGCGUGAGGGAUGGAGGCCUUCGGGUUGUAAACCUCUUUUAUCGGGGAGCAAGCGAGAGUGAGUUUACCCGUUGAAUAAGCACCGGCUAACUACGUGCCAGCAGCCGCGGUAAUACGUAGGGUGCAAGCGUUAUCCGGAAUUAUUGGGCGUAAAGGGCUCGUAGGCGGUUCGUCGCGUCCGGUGUGAAAGUCCAUCGCUUAACGGUGGAUCCGCGCCGGGUACGGGCGGGCUUGAGUGCGGUAGGGGAGACUGGAAUUCCCGGUGUAACGGUGGAAUGUGUAGAUAUC
rnacentral:rRNA from 1 species